GGCCAUGGCCAUGCCACCCUGAGCAUGCUCAGUCUCUUCAGAUCCCAGAAGCUAAUCUGAGCCAGGCCUAGUUAGUACUUGGAUAGGAGACAAGAACUUGCAAUGUAGCCCAGGCUG
rnacentral:rRNA from 1 species